UAAAAUAUUUUUUCAAAAAAUAAGUCGAUUUUUUAUGUUUUCCUCCGAUUUUUUUCAUAAUUUUUUCAUUCAAAAUUUUCCAAUUCCAAAAUUGGUUUGACAGUUCAUUGUCCCAGCAGCCUUGUCGAUGCGACUAUCUGUAUUCUUCCACCAUGAUCAGAACCCUCGGAAAAAAGUGUUAGCUGGGAUGUUAUCCAAUAAGCGACAUUUGGCAGGUGGGAAAUUGCGACCUUAACCUUCUCAAACAUAGAUCCCAUCAUCAUCAACUUGAAGUGUGGCAAAAGCAUUCCCUGGUUAAGCAGACCAUUCUGGAUGGACACAAAGGUCAUUGAGUGAAGCAGUUACCGACUCCCCUGAUGCUGUUAUGGACUCCCUCCAUAAAUCCUUUCUUCUGCAAACGAAAUUACGAACUUAACAUACCCUGCAUCUUAUGUGUGAUGGAGGGUAUACCAUACAUAAUAUGGAGGGAAUAUUAAGUUCGUCAUUCCGUUUGUAACUCAUCGAAAUAAUAAUUUUAGACCCAACAAAGUACAGAUAUUCUUGAUCAGCGUAAAAUCAGCGUAAGACUAGGAACUAAGAUUUAGUCCCGUCUGUUGUAAUCACGCCAGAGCCAAAACGAAUAAUAAAGAUAGAAAUCUAAAAUUUU